rnacentral:tRNA from 1 species
CUCCUUUUUAGAGAAAACGACUCUCAAAAUAAUUAUUGGAAACAACUGGGCUGCUGCAUCAUUCUUCUUUUUCCGUUUUUGUCUAGUCCUGUAGCUCAGUUGGUUAGAGCACUACACUGAUAAUGUAGGGGUCAGCAGUUCAAAUCUGCUCAGGACUACGGUGAAGAUGGGGGAUUAGCUCAGCUGGCUAGAGCGCCUGCCUUGCACGCAGGAGGUCAUCGGUUCGACUCCGAUAUUCUCCACUAAAAAAAAGUUCUUUGACGUACUGGUAAAAAAUAAA